rnacentral:rRNA from 1 species
AUGUUCCUACCUCUCCUUGAUUCGGCUCGGUUUGGCUAUCCAUACCAUGCCGAAGGUCAAGCACACCACUCACAAAAAUACCGGGGGCUCGUCGAUGACUCGCAAGAGCGUCUUCGUCCGCACAAGCGGGCUAGGAAACAGCCUGUCUACAAGGAUACUUCUUCACCUGAAGGCUCUCACUAUGAAGAGGAGAUGGAAUACGAAGAAUGGGCGGAGUAUGCUGCUGUUGGGGAAAAUGCUCCCAAGCUUGGAAUGCGAAAGCCCUCCUACAUGCCUCCUCCACCUCCAAAUCAGCCUCCCGGUGACACUCGCCACAUUUAUUUUGAGCCUCCUCCGUCUCUAGGUUGCGAAAUCAAGGAUUUCACCUUAUUCUCUAAACCUGCGUACCUUAAGUUUUGUCGUGAUGUUGACCAAUUCUUUGUCAGCAUGACUCGAUGGAUUCUCGUGUUCGUACCAAUGUUCAGGCAGACAUUUUCACCACGGUCAUUGUUCCUAAGGGGCUGUCUACUCAUCUCUAUGUUGACUUAG